rnacentral:rRNA from 1 species
UCUAAAUGGGGGGGGGUUUGUUUUUGAAUGGAAUCAUUACAAAAUGAAUCAAAACUUUCAACAACGGAUCUCUUGGUUCUGGCAUCGAUGAAGAACGCAGCGAAAUGCGAUAAGUAAUGUGAAUUGCAGAAUUCAGUGAAUCAUCGAAUCUUUGAACGCACAUUGCGCCCGCCAGUAUUCUGGCGGGCAUGCCUGUUCGAGCGUCAUUUCAACCCUCAAGCCCCAGCGGUUUGGUGUUGGGGACCGGCGAGUACAGAGGCUUUGGGGACUUGUCCCCCUUCCCUCGGCGCCGCCCCCGAAAUGAAUUGGCGGUCUCGUCGCGGCCUCCUCUGCGUAGUAGCACAACCUCGCAUCAGGAGCGCGGCGCGGCCACUGCCGUAAAACGCCCAACUUUUUUUUAAGAGUUGACCUCGAAUCAGGUAGGAAUACCCGCUGAACUUAAGCAUAUCAAUAAGCGG